rnacentral:siRNA from 1 species
AGGUAAGUGUAGAGACAACAUAC